rnacentral:rRNA from 1 species
AAUUUGAAGAAGGUAUYUUUGGACCUGGCUCUNGUCUAUGUUCCUUGGAACAGGACGUCACAGAGGGUGAGAAUCCCGUGCGAUGAGAUGCUCCAGGUCUAUGUAAAGUUCCUUCGAAGAGUCGAGUUGUUUGGGAAUGCAGCUCUAAGUGGGUGGUAAAUUCCAUCUAAAGCUAAAUAUUGGCGAGAGACCGAUAGCGAACAAGUACAGUGAUGGAAAGAUGAAAAGAACUUUGAAAAGAGAGUGAAAAAGUACGUGAAAUUGUUGAAAGGGAAGGGCUUGAGAUCAGACUUGAUAUUUUGUAUGUUGUUCUUUCGGGGGCAGCCUCUACAGUUUAUCGGGCCAGCAUCGGUUUGAACGGUAGGAUAAUGGUAAAGAAAUGUGGCAUCACUUGUGAUGUGUUAUAGUCUUUAUUGAUACUGCCAGUUUAGACCGAGGACUGCGAUUNUUAAUCUAGGAU